GUGAGAGGGUCUUCUCAAAAACGGGACAUUUAAUAAAUGACAGAAGAACCCGCCUCAAGCCAUCGAAUAUAGAAAAACUAAUAUUUCUGAAUGCCAAUGGUACCUGUGAUUAGUGCUGAAAAUUCUGGAACCGUGUGAGGUUUCCUUCCAUGGAGGUAACUAGGCACUUUCAACACAAGCAAACAAGACCACACAACUGUAUGAUGCCUAGCAAAAUGUAAAAUAUGUAACUGGGCACAUUCAACACAAGCAAACAAGACCACACAACUGUAUGAUGCC